CGGACGGGUGAGUAACACGUGGAUAACCUACCUAUAAGACUGGGAUAACUUCGGGAAACCGGAGCUAAUACCGGACAAUAUUUUAAACCGCAUGGUUCAAAAGUGAAAGACGGUCUUGCUGUCACUUAUAGAUGGAUCCGCGCUGCAUUAGCUAGUUGGUAAGGUAACGGCUUACCAAGGCAACGAUGCAUAGCCGACCUGAGAGGGUGAUCGGCCACACUGGAACUGAGACACGGUCCAG
rnacentral:rRNA from 1 species